AUGCAAGAAGAAGACUUUGAAAGAACAAAGAAGUUUGGAUCCGCAAAAGUAUGCUUAGGCAGUUCCUUCGCUGAGCACAACAGAAUGAAGAGGAAUUUGUUUCAUUUCAAAUACUUCUUCUUAUUGAAAAGAGGGAAGGAGAAAAACCGAAAUCUUCCUACUCGAACAAUAAGUCCAUUUGUAGAAAAGUCUUCUUUAUAUAGUACUUCGACCUAUUGCUCCGGAUCCCCGUUUACUAGGAAGAUAAGUAUCAAAAGGAUCGAACUACCUACUCAUUAUUCGGAGGUGAAUCAUAGAACACUAAAAGCUGUGGUAUCUUAUGGACCUAACAUAGGUCACAUCCCUCACGACAUAAGAUUGAAAGAUCCAAACCUUCCUCUUCGGAGCGGAAACGGACGUGGCCAAAACAUAUAA
rnacentral:rRNA from 1 species